GUGGGAAUGCCGGAGUGGCCAAACGGGCUGGACUUAAGAUCCAGUAGCAUCUUUGCUUACGGGGGUUCGAAUCCUCCUUCCCACA
rnacentral:tRNA from 1 species